rnacentral:misc_RNA from 1 species
AAAGGGAAUGUCGUCAGAGCGGCGGGAGGGAGUCCGUUCAUUCAACAGCACCAAUGGCGGAACAGCAGUGCUCGUGCAUUAACUGAUGAUUCGUUGUCCAUUGCCCGUUGAUUUCCAUAGCCAAUCACCAUGAAUAAGUGUGAAUUUAACCCAAUAUUACUCAAAAAGUCUUCAGUAAAAUCACAAAUCACAAAAUGAAGACAAAACGUUAUUUGGAAAAUUAUCAAUAUUGUCAAUUUUGUACAAUUGUCAUUUCAGGAAGGAUGACACGUAAAUCAGCUGAGUAAAAUGGAGCAGUGUCAGUUGACCACAAACUUACUCAAUGCAGCAGCAGCUGCUGGCUGCGAUGUUGUUGAUCCUUCUCAACAACAACAGAUCCAGCUUCUCGCAAAUCAAUCUCUUCUAUCCGCCCAACCUCAACAGCUAACUUUUGUUCAAAAUGUUCCUAGUGGUGCCGUCCAGCUUCAACAAGCCAUGCAACCUCAGAUGAUUCAGUUAAACCAGGGGGCUUUAGUAAAUGCCCCUAAUCAACAACUUAUGUUCCAAGCUCUACCUCAAGCAGCCAACCCACAAACAAUCCCCAUACAAACUGUACAAGGAGGACAACACCCAGCAAUUGCUUCAGCACAAACAUUGCAGGCGAUUGAUAUGUUUUCCACUGGCCAACAGUUUCCCAACCAAUCAUUACAACCACAGCAGUUUGUGAUUCAACCUGCUCCUAAUCAAUCAUUCAUCCCUACUGGACAACUUCCUGGUGGCCAGCUCAUUCAGACUCAAGAUGGUCAACUCAUCCUUUGCCAGCCCUUUGUUAAUGAUUUGAUAAAACGUUUACAAACCCAACAACAGCAGAGUCCAGGUAUUGUCCAGUUAAAUAAUGGAUUAAACUUGGCCUGUACCAGUCCAGCUCCAACUGCUGUUCAACCCGUGACAUCAUUACAGACAGUUGGUCAACUGGCAACAGCUAUUGCAUCUUCCAUGACGUCAGACUCAGUUGUCAAUAGUACUAAUAAUAAUAAUAAUAAUAGUAAUAAUAAUCAUUCUCCACCUAUAACAUCACCCAUGCCACCAGACUGCUCAUCUCCAGAUAUUUCUUCAUUAUCUACCGUUCCUAAUGUAAAUAACAUAGUUAUGAUGGUACCUGCUGAAAGUUCUAACUCUACAAACUCUAACAGUGGAUCUAUCUCCAGUGCAACAACCAUUCAAAGAAUACCGAUUCCAGGUUCAGAUCUUAUGGAGGAAGAACCGUUGUAUGUUAAUGCUAAACAAUAUCAUCGAAUACUAAAACGGCGACAGGCUCGAGCAAAACUUGAAGCUGAAGGAAAAUUGAGAAAAGAAAGAAAAGUAAAAAUACCUGCAUGAAUCGAGGCAUCGACAUGCUAUGAAUCGGAUACGAGGCGAUGGUGGUCGUUUUUAUUCAAUUAAGAAAGACGGGCCUUCUGAGUUUAAAUUUUCACCUAAACAUGAAGAGGAUGAUUCACCGGUUUGUGGUAUGUUGGACAUAGGUGACACUCAUCUUGCAUCUGUCAACUUCCUUUCUACCAAUGGAUCUACACUCACUGACACCAAAUAUAAUUAAGAUAUAAUACAUAUAUUUUUUAUAUUUUUUUAUGUUUUUCUUCUUCUUCUAGGUAACAUUCUUUUUUAUUAUACAUUGGCUGUUUAAGAAUUACAUAUUUUUUAAUAAAGAACAUCUUAACAGUCAAGAAUUAAUGGCAGCUUCAAUAAUUUCUCUGUAAUAAUAUAUAUAAAAAAAAAAACAAUGUUUGUUAGAUAUAUCUUAAUUAACCAGAUCAUGUAGCAUUUUAAAACCUUUCGAAUUCAUAUCAUAUCUUGAAAAAAAAAUGAUACAAUGUAGACAUUUACCAGACUGUAAACAAUUAAAUAUGUUUAUAGAGAGAUUCUACAAGCAAAUUGUGUAUAAAAUUAAAUGUGGACUUUCCUUAAAUUCUUUAUAUAUGUCCUAUAUAUAUAUAUAUAUAUACUCUUUUCCUCCUCAUCUUAGCUAUGUUGUUGUCAUUAUCGUCAUCAUCACUAUCAUCAAUAUUUAUACAUUUAUUUAUUGACAUUUAUUUAAUUUCCUUCAGAUAUUCAUUCUCCUGUGUGAAAUGCUUUAUUAUAAUUAUCAACUUCAAACCAAGUUAUGUCUUUACAGAAUGAUUAAUGAGUGAAUGUAUGCCUCCUUGCCUUCUAUCAACAGAAUUUUCAAUUUAAAAAAAAAAAAAAAACUGCUCCCUCUGUGUUUUUUCCCCUGCCAUCUAAUUUCAUAGCAUUCAAUAAUAAGUAUAGAAAAAUGAUAAAACUUUGUAUUUUUAAACCAAUGAAAUUUAAGUUAACCCUUUGCAUGACUAAAGUAUUUUCAUAAAUUUUUACUAAAUAUCGAUGCUUGUUUUAAGAUUUUUAGGUAGUAGGUUUUAGUAGUUGUUUUGUAGGUUUCUCAGUAAUAUAAAGCUUUCAUAAGUCCCAAGUUGCUCUGGUGGUUGAAAGAAGAUUAGGAAUGUGUAUCAUAUAUAUGAUGCAUGGACACCAAGGAAAUGUCCUGUAUAUCACGAUACAUAAGAGGCAAAGGGUUAAAAAAAUCUUGCAAUAUUAUAGUUUUAUAUAUCUUCAUAUACCUUUAUAUGUCUAUAUAGCUAUAACCUUUUUUUUUUUUUUCUGAAAUGGAUUAAGUAGUUUAUACAUCAUUUUUCCUUCCUACCACAACUGUUUCAUUGAAGAAAAAUAUUUAUAGUAUUACCAUUUAAGAGUUUGUGGAAUAUUCCUGUAAAUUAAUUAGUAAUUACAAUCUGAAACAAAAAAAGAGCUUUGUUGAACCUUCGGAAAUCACAUUAUUUAAAUUGGUUUUCCAUAAGCGCCUUUCCAUUUGAGCUACACAGAUACAUUCUCCACACCUUUAUAUUUGUUUAUAUGUAAAAAAAAACCCAAAAAAACCAUGUAAUUUAUAUUUAAUCAUAUUG